rnacentral:rRNA from 1 species
GAGUUUGAUCCUGGCUCAGAAUGUACGCUGGCGGCACGCCUAACACAUGCAAGUCGAGCGAGGUACUUGUACCUAGCGGCAGACGGGUGCGUAACAUGUGGGAAUCUGCCUUUUGGUUCGGAACAACACGGGGAAACUUGUGCUAAUGCCGGAUAAGUCCUAACGGAGAAAGAUUUAUCGCCGAAAGAUGAGCCCGCACUAGAUUAGCUUGUUGGUAAGGUAAAAGCUUACCAAGGCUACGAUCUAUAGCUGAUUUGAGAGGAUGAUCAGCCACACUGGGACUGAGACACGGCCCAGACUCCUACGGGAGGCAGCAGUGGGGAAUCUUGCACAAUGGAGGAAACUCUGAUGCAGCGAUGCCGCGUGAGUGAAGAAGGCCCUUGGGUUGUAAAGCUCUUUUGUCGGGAAAGAUAAUGACUGUACCCGAAGAAUAAGGUCCGGCUAACUUCGUGCCAGCAGCCGCGGUAAUACGAAGGGACCUAGCGUAAUUCGGAAUUACUGGGCGUAAAGCGCGCGUAGGCGGUUAAGUAAGUUAAUUGUGAAAGCCCAAAGCUCAACUUUGGAAUUGCAAUUAAAACUACUUAGCUAGAGUUUAUCAGAGGAAAGCGGAAUACAUAGUGUAGAGGUGAAAUUCGUAGAUAUUAUGUAGAACACCAGUUGCGAAGGCGGCUUUCUGGGAUAACACUGACGCUGAGGUGCGAAAGUAUGGGUAGCGAAGAGGAUUAGAUACCCUCGUAGUCCAUACCGUAAACGAUGAUUGUUAGAUGUUGGAAAUUUAUUUUCAGUAUCACAGCUAACGCGUUAAACAAUCCGCCUGGGGAGUACGACCGCAAGGUUAAAACUCAAAUGAAUUGACGG